UACGGAAGGCAGCAGUGGGGAAUAUUGCACAAUGGGCGAAAGCCUGAUGCAGCUAUGCCGCGUGUAUGAAGAAGGCCUUAGGGUUGUAAAGUACUUUCAUCGGGGAGGAAAAAACAAAACUAAUAAUUUUAUUUCUUGACGUUACCCGAAAAAGAAGCACCGGCUAACUCCGUGCCAGCAGCCGCGGUAAUACGGAGGGUGCUAGCGUUAAUCAGAAUUACUGGGCGUAAAGAGCACGUAGGUGGUUUUUUUAAGUCAGAUGUGAAAUCCCUGGGCUUAACCUGGAACUGCAUUUUGAAACUGAAAUACUAGAGUAUCGUAGAGGGAGGUAGAAUUCUAGGUGUAGCGGUGAAAUGCGUAGAUAUCUGGAGGAAUACCUGUGGCGAAAGCGGCCUCCUAAACGAAUACUGACACUGAGGUGCGAAAGCGUGGGGAGCAAACAGAAUUAGAUACC
rnacentral:rRNA from 1 species